rnacentral:piRNA from 1 species
UGUUUCAAAAGGUUGUUUCUUUGAUGAGG